rnacentral:rRNA from 1 species
AUUGAACGCUGGCGGCAGGCCUAACACAUGCAAGUCGAACGGUAGCACAGAGAGCUUGCUCUCGGGUGACGAGUGGCGGACGGGUGAGUAAUGUCUGGGAAACUGCCCGAUGGAGGGGGAUAACUACUGGAAACGGUAGCUAAUACCGCAUAACGUCGCAAGACCAAAGUGGGGGACCUUCGGGCCUCACACCAUCGGAUGUGCCCAGAUGGGAUUAGCUAGUAGGUGGGGUAAUGGCUCACCUAGGCGACGAUCCCUAGCUGGUCUGAGAGGAUGACCAGCCACACUGGAACUGAGACACGGUCCAGACUCCUACGGGAGGCAGCAGUGGGGAAUAGUGCACAAUGGGCGCAAGCCUGAUGCAGCCAUGCCGCGUGUAUGAAGAAGGCCUUCGGGUUGUAAAGUACUUUCAGCGGGGAGGAAGGCGGUGAAGUUAAUAACUUCACCGAUUGACGUUACUCGCAGAAGAAGCACCGGCUAACUCCGUGCCAGCCGCCGCGGUAA